GGGUUGUGAGGUUAAGCGACUAAGCGUACACGGUGGAUGCCCUGGCAGUCAGAGGCGAUGAAGGACGUGCUAAUCUGCGAAAAGCGUCGGUAAGGUGAUAUGAACCGUUACAGCCGGCGAUGUCCGAAUGGGGAAACCCAGUGCAAUUCGUUGCACUAUCGUUAACUGAAUACAUAGGUUAACGAGGCGAACCGGGGGAACUGAAACAUCUAAGUACCCCGAGGAAAAGAAAUCAACCGAGAUUCCCCCAGUAGCGGCGAGCGAACGGGGAGCAGCCCAGAGUCUGAAUCAGCUUGUGUGUUAGUGGAACGGUCUGGAAAGUCCGACGGUACAGGGUGAUAGUCCCGUACACCAAAAUGCACAGGCUGUGAACUCGAAGAGUAGGGCGGGACACGUGGUAUCCUGUCUGAAUAUGGGGGGACCAUCCUCCAAGGCUAAAUACUCCUGACUGACCGAUAGUGAACCAGUACCGUGAGGGAAAGGCGAAAAGAACCCCGGCGA
rnacentral:rRNA from 1 species